CUACUACUCCCUCCGUCCGGAAAAACUUGUCCCAAGCUUCUUUCUCAAAUGGAUGUAUCUAGCACUAACUUGGUGCUAGAUACAUCCAUUGGAGGGACAAGCUUUUUCGGACGGAGGGAGUACCUC
rnacentral:pre_miRNA from 1 species